UGAAUAUAAUCCUCCAUAUCUAUUUAUUUGAACCGAUAUAUAAAAAGUUAGGGAUGAAGAUAAAAUGCUAUACAAAAUCUGCAUGUUUUAUGCUUACAAGGGGACUUUCUAAUCAUCAAUGCCUUCGAGUCGCUUGAUGAUUGCUUACCAUUGUUUCUUUCCUUUAUUCUUUCUCUUGUUUUCGUUACCGCUACCUCCGCCACCGCCCAUAUUGCUACCGCCAGUCUUCAAACCACUUCCAGGUUUGGC